AACGAACGCUGGCGGCAGGCUUAACACAUGCAAGUCGAACGCCCCGCAAGGGGAGUGGCAGACGGGUGAGUAACGCGUGGGAACAUACCCUUUUCUACGGAAUAGCUCUGGGAAACUGGAAUUAAUACCGUAUACGCCCUACGGGGGAAAGAUUUAUCGGGGAAGGAUUAGCCCGCGUUGGAUUAGCUAGUUGGUGGGGUAAAGGCCUACCAAGGCGACGAUCCAUAGCUGGUCUGAGAGGAUGAUCAGCCACAUUGGGACUGAGACACGGCCCAAACUCCUACGGGAGGCAGCAGUGGGGAAUAUUGGACAAUGGGCGCAAGCCUGAUCCAGCCAUGCCGCGUGAGUGAUGAAGGCCUUAGGGUUGUAAAGCUCUUUCACCGAUGAAGAUAAUGACGGUAGUCGGAGAAGAAGCCCCGGCUAACUUCGUG
rnacentral:rRNA from 1 species